rnacentral:lncRNA from 1 species
UUGGGAUAUAUAUCCCAUAUAACAUGCAGAACAAUACAACUGUUUUUCUUAAUACCUUAUCUGUAGAAACUUUCUCAGCAGCAGUACAGGAAUUGACAGAGUAAACAGUUUUCCUUACAUAUCCCUCAGGAACCAGCAACACUGAGAUGUUAGCAAUUUGCUCUGGUUGUAAUUUCACAAAGUGGAUGUCUAAUGUACGUGGCACCAGAUGUAUCUGAAGGAGAGGAUAUGUUCCUCAGGGAGAAACUUGUUUUGCUGACACACUUAUCAAACAACUAUCUCGACCCUGCAGGCAGCAUUUGUUACCACACUUUCUGUCCCAUUUUCUAAAGAAAAAAUAAAAAAAAUGUCACCUUUAGAAGAGAGUCAGAACUCUACCAAAUGGCUGAGAAGAUAUUCAUUUUCUUUUCUUUCUUGGUUUCACAGCUUCCUACUUAGUCUAGCAAACCACUCCAUGUAUAGCUGCACAGACUUGUGGUGGAUACAGGAAAGGAAGUUUUGCAUUUGCCAUGAAGUUGUAUGGGAGAAAUGAGAGUUGCAUUUCUAACCAAAUUAGAAAUGAGGGGAGAUGAGUUGUUUUCUAAUGGAGAAGUGCUGGUCCUCUUCCUAAUCUUCAGAGUACUUCAGGAGCAAAACAAAAUUUUUGACAGUAAAAUGGCAGUUUUGUGAGACAGUCUGAGAUGGCAUGACCUGUACUUCAUCCUUGGAGAGUUACACUAGUGAGGAAGGAAUGUCAGGACAAACAACAUCUUCAAGCAGACAAAACUUUAAAACUUACCUGGAGCCUGCCGUUUCAUUCUUUACACAGCUGGUGCCUGCUGCCUGCUGCCUCCAGAUGAAUAUCAGUUUUUCGUACUAUUCAAGUGGAUUAGCUGCUUCCAAUAUCUUUGAUAAUAUACAAUGUAAGUUUUGUGUAUUGUUAAUCAUAUUUUGUAACCUGUAAACAAUAAAAAUAAUCAUUAUGCUUACGUCA